ensembl:lncRNA
ACACGCAGCUGAGGAGGAGGAUGGAGGAGCUGGAGGCCGAGCUCCGAGAAAAGGAGGCAGAGCUGGAAGAUCUCCGGAAACAAAGUGAACUCACACCUCAGGUCACCUCAGAGCGCGACGGUAUCUCUGAGAAGAUGGAGGCGGCAGAGAGAGGAUCAAAACCAGGAAGACAAAGCGCGUUCCCUAAAGACAGAGGCUGAGGAGAGCGAAUCCCGACACUGCCCCCUGGAGGUGGAGGUGAAGAGCUUCCUGGAGGUGCUGGACGGGAAGAUCCACGACUUGCAGGGAUUCAGUGCAGGACUCUCCAAACCAGGCACUGACAACCAAGGCUGGUCAAGGCCCAGGCCCCGCCCUGCCCAUAGAGGAGUUUUAGUGGAUUUGCCUCCUGGAAAUAGUGGAAGAGGAUUCAGGAAUUCAGCAGUGGCUCCUGUUCUUCUCCCCCAAUAAACACAGAACAACAGCAAUGGGGAAUUUGGGAAUUUUCCCCAAUUCUGUAGAAAAAGCCUACAAGCACUAGAAGCUUCACACUCUAACACCAUUAGCACAUCAAUCUUCAAGCCACUUACGAAAUAUAUCCAGGUUAGUCUUUUUCUACCAGAAAUGCCAUCCAGUGGGAACAGACCUAGGUGCAAUAAUAUGUGGGUCCUGGUUCUCCCUUCAGGCGCCUGUCACCUUAGACUGCAGUUUUUUCACUUGCCCUGUGACAUGAACUCUGAUGUGUAGAUGUUUUAUUUCCUUUAUUAGUAGUUGUUCAAGCUUAUCGUCAAUGAGGUAGAAUAUGGUUGUAUUUUUCUCACUUUUUUACUUUUCCUUACUGAGUAGUUGCUUCCUAUAUAAAAGAUAGCAACUGAGAGGACAAAUAAAAUAUCUAUUAUAGGUGAAUAAUUAAACAGUGUCAGAUAUAUUGAUGUAGUGGAAUACGACUCGGCCUUACAGUCAAGGCAUGUCUGAGUCACAGAAUAACUUGACUAUAUUCUCAGUAAGUGUGCUAAUAAAAGAUGUUAAAGAAUUAUAAUACAUAUCAUACAAUUCCAUUUGUAUAGACUACAGGUAAUGCAACUAUUCUGAAAUAACAGGGAGAAAAUUUGAAUUUGUUUGAGAAUGGGAUGGCAAGAGUAAUAGAAUGAUGAGAUAAAAUUACAGAAAACUGAGAUAAAUUUUAAGGGGUUAAUUGAAUUGGUCACACUUUGCUUAAUGUCCUGAUUAAAACAUUGAAUACCUAGUUCAACAUUUCCAAAUUGUAUAGUACAAAUUUGGAUUUAAUAUUAUUAAUUAUACUAAAAUAAAUCAGUAAUAAAAAACAAGUGAAUAUAUUGGCUGAGAAUGAGCAAUGAAAAUGAAUAACGACACUUGAAACAUUGCCAACUCCUCAAAAUUCGCAUGCAUGAACUCUGAUUAUUUCUAUAUAUUUUAGGUGAACACCAAAUACAGCAAAAUCACACACAGGUGUCAUAAGAGUUGUGUGCUUUGGCAGACCUCAGAAGGUAUGUCUCACCCUGCCCUGGAGUUGCUUCAGGGUAACACACUCCUCAGUGGUGACAAUCACAGGAGCAGAUAAUGGGGAUAACUCUAAGCUGAUAUGAGGUCUUGGAUGCAUUGCACAAAUGCUGUGUUCUGUAAGUAUUUUUUUUCUGUAAAAUGUACCAUUAAAAACUAUAUUAAAUGUAUAUCGGGCAGAUAAGUAAAAUUAAAUAAGAUAGUGACUUCUAAGUGUUAAUUCAUGCAUAAUUACAUAAUAUAACAUUAUGUUAUCCUGAAGGAUAGUAUUCCUGCUCAUCUCAUCUAGGGUCUUCUCUGGGACCUGUCCUCUCCUCAGGCAUCCCAUCCCAGAGCUUGCUAUAUGGUGACCCUGUGGCUCUGGGAGAGAACAGACAGUCCCAGUAUUCAUAUGUGUUUCUAUUUGGUGUUGAGGACUGAACACAAAUGACUCACCUUAGAAUUUGGGCUGAGCUGGGGUUUUCUUGUUGCUAUUUUAAAAGAUGAUUCCUGGAGACCUGAAGAUAUUUAUUGUGGAUGUAUUCGAGUGAGGGAAACAGUAGAUAUGUGUGUCAGCUUCUGAUCGCUGUGUCUCUGUGUUUCCAGGUGUCCGGUGUGAGGUGCAGCUGGUGGAGAUUUCUGGAGGCUUGGUAAAGCCUUGGGUGUCCCUGAGACUCUCCUGUGGUGCCUCUGGGUUCAGUUUCAGUAGCUGCUACAUGGACUCGGUCCACCAGGCUUCAGGGAAGGGGCUAGAGUGGGUCUCAUGAAUUAGUAGUGAUGGAACUAGCACAUACUAUGCAGAUGCCAUGAAGGGUUGAUUCACCAUCUCCAGAGACAAUUCCAAGAAGUCCCUUUAUCUGCAAAUAAACAGUGUGAGAUCUGAGGACAUUGCUGUGUAUUAAUGUCUUAGAGACAAAGUGAGGGGAGAUCAGUGUGAGCCCAGACACACACGUCCUGCAAGAACACAUGUAGGAAAUCAGCUGCAGAGGGCGCUCAGAACCCAGUGAUCAGAGUCAACCACAGAGACAGGUGCAGAUGGAGCUUAAGGAUGUGUUUCCUUCAGUGUUUGGAAUUUCUUCUUCAUCUGACAAUUUCCCCAGAGAAUCCCCCUAAUUUCACAGUUCUGUGACUACCAAUGCCACCUACAAUUUUUUAAUCAUUGUAAUUGAUAUGGUUUGUUUCUGUGUCCCCAACCAAAUCUCAUCUUGACUUGUACUCCCAUGAUUUCCAUGUGUGGUGGGAGGGACUUGGUGGGAGAAAACUGAAUCACAGGGGCAAGUCUAUUCCAUGCUGUUCUUGUGAUAG